ACCACCGGCGGGCAGCCGGCCGGCCGAGAGAGACGCGCUCGGCGUCCCAGCCCAGCAUCGCCGAGCGAGCGCAGGACGGCUCCGAAGCUGAGACAGUAGCCUAGGGAUCCGCACGUGGACCCUCACAUAUUAAAUGACCACGGCUUUUGCCAAGCGGUGCCAUGUCCACACCCGAGAUCCAAACCGCGAACUCUGGGCCUCCGAGAAGUGGAAACUGCGCACUUAACCGCUGCACCACCGGGCCGGCCCCCAAGUUCUAUUUUUUCUUUAAUUGCUUUUCAAUUGAUUUUCCUGUUUUGUCCAGGUAUAAAAUUAACGGUAUAUGUUAUCAGUAAUAAUAAAUUAUUCCCUCCUGUCUUCUAUUUUCACUAUUUUCUUUCUGUUCUCUGAUUCAAUGGCUGCUAUUGUAAUGGGUUGAUCUCACUCUUCAUUCGCCCGGUGCAGACGUUUUUGUUAGAGACAUAGAUUUAAUUUUCUUAAAGAAUAACACACGCUUUCCUAUUUUAUUAGAAGUUUUGUAAAGUCCAUAAAUUGAUUUUUAACUUUUCAAAUAACUUUGAGGAAUCUAUUGAAAUGAUCACGUUUUUCCUCCCUUGACCUAUGAAUAUGGUGAAUUAUUCCAGUAAAUAUUCUUAAAUUGUUUCACUUUUACAUUUUUGAAAUAAAUCCACCUGGGUAUGGUUUAUUAUUCUUUUAA